GCCCCACAGAGAAGAGGGACAGCAUGGCUCUAUGGCCUGACGCUCCCCAAGAUCCAAACCGAUAUGCUGGGCACCACCCCACCGUGCAUCAUCUGGGAUACGUGUGCAGAGACCUAUUUCCCCGCUUUAUUUUUGGGUUUCUCAGCCCUGCAGAUGUGACUUGCAUCACCUUGCCGUGGUUACUGGGUCUGCCUGCACCAGGGCACCGGUGGAGCACCUCAUUGGAUUUGUUCAGGCAGGCUGGGGUCUGUCCCUCCAGCCUUCCUCCUGCUCCAGAAAGCAUUGGAGCUUCUCUGUGUCCACAAAGGUCGGAAGACCAAACCAGGGCUGAUGCAUGGUGCCCAGGAAGGGUGCAGGUGCUCGUGUUUGACUGCAGAGCUGAUCUGUGCUGGCUCAGGGCAGGCAUUGCUGCAGCCCUCCUCCUAAGCUCCACAAGCCACAGCCCGCCCAAGGAAAACAACAUCAUGUUUUGGAAUGUAACAAUUUAUUGGGGUUAAUUUUUUGUUUUAAUUUUAAACUCCCCAUUUCUGGCAUUGAUACAAUAUUCAAGAGCAGCAGAAAGAACAAAAUGUACAAGAAUACAAGAGUAAUUAGCACAACCCCCCACCCCUAAACCUGGAGCAAACCAGUUUCUUGUAGGAAGCACCAAGGGAAGGAGUGAUUCAAUCACCCUUCCAGUGGCUCUGCCUCCCACCCAUCCACUCUAGACAGAGUUUAGCCAGCUGGGAACUGGAUUAAAAAACAAAACUGAACAAACACUAUAUUUAAAAUGAAAAUUGCAUGACAAAAAAAAUAUUAUAUAGAUAUACAAUUCAUCCGUGCACAAUCCUUAAAUGCUUUUUUUUUCAAAAUAAAAAAAAAUUACAAGAUACAUAUUUAGGUUUAUUUUAAAUUAAAAAAAAAUACCACCUUCACUCUGUAUGCCAAGUGAGGGGAAAUGAAGAGACAGAUGGGUUGCACCAGAACUAUCAGCACUUGGAGUUAGGGCUGACCUUCUCCAAGAGGAAGGAAGGGCUCCGAUGCUGCCAAAGCUCAAACACAGCCAGAAUCUGAAGCACCCAAGUACCACAGAACACAGUGGGGUCACUCGCCUGCUCCAAGAUCAGUGUUUGCAGGAAUCUGCAGCAUUUGAGCCUAAGCUUGGCACAGGGGAAGGUGAAAGGAAGGAACAAAUGAAGCAGGCCCCUGUCCUCCACCACCAGCAGACAACUUUAUAUGCAAAAAGAAAACAAACUGGGGGGGGGGGGGGGAAAUCCCAAAGCAGAGAA